rnacentral:rRNA from 1 species
ACUCCUACGGGAGGCAGCAGUGGGGAAUAUUGGGACAAUGGGGGAACCCGUGAUCCAGCCAUGCCGCGUGUGUGAAGAAGGCCUUAUGGUUGUAAAGCACUUUAAGCGAGGAGGAGGCUACUAGUAUUAAUACUACUGGAUAGUGGACGUUACUCGCAGAAUAAGCACCGGCUAACUCUGUGCCAGCAGCCGCGGUAAUACAGAGGGUGCGAGCGUUAAUCGGAUUUACUGGGCGUAAAGCGUGCGUAGGCGGCCAUUUAAGUCAAAUGUGAAAUCCCCGNGCUUAACUUGGGAAUUGCAUUCGAUACUGGAUGGCUAGAGUAUGGGAGAGGAUGGUAGAAUUCCAGGUGUAGCGGUGAAAUGCGUAGAGAUCUGGAGGAAUACCGAUGGCGAAGGCAGCCAUCUGGCCUAAUACUGACGCUGAGGUACGAAAGCAUGGGGAGCAAACAGGAUUAGAUACCCUGGUAGACAUCA